AUGUCUAUCUCUUUCUCUAGUAAUUCUGUAACUCACAUGUGUACUACUUGUGGUGUUAGCAAAGUCUCUCUUCUCAGGGAAUUCUGUAACAAAACAGGAGUACAGAUUACAUUGAAGGAUUACAAGUUUUCCUGACUGCUCCAUUCAAUGAAGAUGAUAUUGCCUAUAUUGUACCUGUUGUUAAGCACACUGAUUUUAAACCUCUUGAAGCCUCUGGCUUGUAUGAGUUGUCUCAGGUUCAGUUGCAGUCUGGUAAUAUUGAAGUUGCUCUUGACUAUCUAUCUGAAGCUGUGCAAUUGUUUGCUCAAGUCUUUGGGCCACUACAUGUCAACAUAGCAAACUGUUAUAAGUGAGUGGUGUCAUUUAAGUACUUAUAUAUUCCAUUGUAUUA